UACGUAGGGGGCAAGCGUUGUCCGGAAUUAUUGGGCGUAAAGCGCGCGCAGGCGGCUACUUAAGUCUGGUGUUUAAACCAUGGGCUCAACCUGUGGUCGCACUGGAAACUGGGUGGCUUGAGUACAGAAGAGGAAAGUGGAAUUCCACGUGUAGCGGUGAAAUGCGUAGAGAUGUGGAGGAACACCAGUGGCGAAGGCGACUUUCUGGGCUGUAACUGACGCUGAGGCGCGAAAGCGUGGGGAGCAAACAGG
rnacentral:rRNA from 1 species